AAGCCCUUUGUUCACAGCCUCUCUGCCCUAGUCUGGGAUCAGGAAUUCUUUUAAUGCUUCUGCUGUGUCUUUAUUUCCUAUCUCAUUCAUGCUCUACCUCCUGUCUGCAUUGAGCUGUAGUGCUGAUGGUCUCCAGUUGGAUGCACCAAUGUGUCUUUGUGGUGGGAUAACCAUAGUUGCAGCCCCCUGCUCCUAGGGAGACGUGCACCCCCCUGGCUUUCACCCCGCCCUUGCACCGUUCCAUUGCUCUGACAGCAGCUGGAUCCAGCAGAUAUUUCUCAGCUGACGGCAGGAUGCUUGUGUGCUUGCACAUCUGAGCUUCUAUCUAUUACCUGUCCAAGCUUUAGGUCACUGUGGGAGCGAAUCGCUCAGAGGAUGUGUCUCACUCCCCUGGGCAGGAGCCAGCCCUGAUUCCAUCCAGAUGCUCUCCAAAUGGCUUUCAGCUGUCUCUCCUUGAGGAGAACAGCUUGGUACCUAACACCCAGCUCAGUGCGUGGCUCAGACAGGCUGCUCCCCGCCAGUGCUUCCAAGAACUCUGCGAUCCAACGGCUUCCUCUGGUCGCCAGGCGUUGGGCCCUGCCAAAUCUUCUCCGAGGAGACGGUGAUGACAGAGUUCGCUUUACGGAAGGGGAGAAGCGAGCCUACCUCCAAGCACAGAGACCUAGCCAGCUGUGGAGAAGUGGGUGAAUGGAGCUACGAAGCUCUGGAAAAUCAGAGCUCUGCUGGAAUGGCCGCAACCAGCGCAAUGGAGGGAACUCACUGGAUGGAAGUCAGCCUUCUGCUGCUCCUAGCUUCAGAAAGGGCCAAGCCGUAGCUGGUUUGAACUCAAUAUCUCAGUUCUUCCAUUUGUUACCUAGAGGAGGCCAAUUUUUGUGAUUUUUGGACACUCAUUUCAUGUAAUCAUACCCCUACGGUACAAGAAAAAAAAAAAAAAACACUUUAUAUAAAUACCGACGUGUUUUGUGACACAAAAACCAGAUACAGUAUAUGGAAAAUAUAACCUCCUUCCCUCUGGAAAUGGCUUGGGAUUAUCUACUUCUUGUUCUUGUAACUCGUCCUCUACAUGCCUCUGCUUCAAGGGUGAUUUACUGCAAAUAUCUCUGUGUUCCUUUCGCCGUAUUGAUUCAUAAGAAAUCCUUUCACAAUGAAAUCAUAUUUUCCAUGAACAACAACAACAACAAAAAAAAAAAAGUCAGAUAGAAGAUGAAGAAUAUUAUUGUAACAGGAAAAUGGUUAGGACAAAGAAAGCUUAUAAUUUUGUAAACAGAGGUUGGGAGGAGGCUUUUGGGAUUGAGUUUCUGGGCAGCGAGUCAGAGGGUUUUUCUUUUCUUAUUUUGAAGACUCUACUGGCAAUGUCUGCAACCCAGAAAGGAAUAAAUAUAAACAAAUUUCCCUUGCAAUGAGGCUCUGAGGCUCUGAUAGCUCUAUUAACAGAAUGGAGGAUCCAAUGAAGGAUGUGCCCAAGAACACUGAUGGUCUGGGAGAAGUGUUUGAAAGGUUUUGACACCCCUGUCGCUUUGCCAGAGAGGAUUUAGCUCCAUGCUGUCUUCUGCUGCUGAAUAUUUAAGUGACCAAAGCCAGAUGAUUUCACGCCACAAAUGCAAUGGGGUCACCCAUUCUGAGGGGCAAAGAAAUGAUGAGGGGAGCACUUUCCAACUAAAGUGAAAGUUUGAGAGUUAAAGUUUGUUGUGUUUGUUUUUUUUCCAUUGGAAGAUAAGGCAACGAUCUCUUUCCCCUCCCAUUAGUCACAGUGAGUAACUGGGUGAAGUGGCUGAUGGUGGUGGAAAGGAAUG
rnacentral:lncRNA from 7 species